GAAAUAAUUGCACAAAAACAAUUCAGAAAUUUGCUUUAUUGUUAUUAACAUUCAGGUAUUUGUUUGUUUACAGCUGUGAACAAAGUGUGUAAUUUAUUCGAAGUUAAAAGAUUUCUCCAAUAUCUUUUUCAUAGCUUAAUUUCCAGAGACAACUAUAAGCAAGCAAGCCAUUUAUAAGUUUGACUUCUCCGAAAAGUUUCAACAUGGCAGCACUGACUCAACCAAUAGUGCAAGUUUGGGGCUGGACUAUAUGUUUUCCCAACCAAUGCAAGACAGGCAGAGUGGUAAUGCUAGUGGCACAGAGAUUACACACUUCAGCUUUAAAUAUGAGGUUAAUUCUUUUUUUUCUAUUUUUUUGUUGUUGUAAAUAAUCUUUAAAUUAAUAAAGCAUCAAAGAGUUUGUUGUUGGAAACAGAGUUUAUGAGGUAAACAAUUUAUGUUUUCAGCUUAUGUAGUAGGGAUGUCAAUGAUUAAUCGUUAAUCGGUUAAUUGCCAUUAAGAAUUUAACUGAUUAUAAAUGUAUUAACCGACAAUGUAUAUGUACCAUUUCUCCGGAGCACACAUAGCCUAUGUUAACUUUUAUACCACACGAGGGCGUACUUCACAUUUGCAGUUGAGAAAAACUACUGCCGUGCCAUAAAGAAAGAAGUGGACAGUAAAUGGUUAGGCAAGAUGAAGAGGGCAAAUCGUAGUCCAGCGUGGGAGCAUUACACUGUAAAAGAGGUCAAUGCUCAAUGUAAAUAUUGCAACACCGUCUUAAAAUACAGCUCAUUAUUUUAAGAGUCAUUGUUGUACCACCUGAAAAGUCAGCACCCGACGGUUGCAGUGCAAGUUGAAAGUGGAACACUGUCCUCCUAACAAACUAUCAAGCUGAUGUUAGCUAGAAGAGGCUGUAGUGAUGUGCGUGCAGAGGCAAUAACUCAGAGGCUCUGCUUUAUGGUGGAAAAGGACUUGAUGCCUAUAAGCAUGGUGGACGGUGAGGGAUUUCGUGAGCUACUGAACUACAUUGAACCAGGCUAUCGCAUCCCGUCAAGAAAUACAUUUACUAGCCACAUUAAGAAGCGGUACAACGAAAAGAAAGACUAUCUUAAGGCACAGUUAUUAUCAGCCGACAAGGUGGCUAUAACGACUGACUGUUGAACUGCGUUAACUGCAGAGAGUUAUAUCACAGUUCAUGCCACUACAUCGAAGACUGGCAUUUGAAAUCAGCGGUCCUGCUAACCGUGGCCAUAUCAGUCAGACACACAGCAGACAAAAUAGCUGAAAAGUUGAACGAGGCUGAGCGGACAUGGGGGCUAGCUGGUCAAGUGACAGCCUGCGUCCAUGACAAUGCAAAAAAUAUCGUGGCGGCAAACAAUCCCACUCGUGCUAACUGGCAUUCUGUCCCGUGCUUCGCGCACACUUGAAAUUUGGCCAUUAAUGAUGGAUUUGCCAGCUAUGUGCACCGGGUCAUUGCUGCAGCUGGGAAGCUGGUAAGCCACUUCAAUCAUAGCAUCAUUGCUACCAAAGCACUGGAGAGCAAGCAGCAACAAAUUUCUGUGCUGUCUGAUUGCACAGUGACCAAACUCCAAGAUGCCAGAGGGUUUGGAACUUAAAGCUGAAUACUGGCAGCUUAUGGAGGAUGUAGUGCCAGUCUUGGGAGCACUCAAGUGUGCCACUACCAUUAUGUCUGCCGAAAAAGAGGUCCCAAUCUCCAACACGUACCCAAUCACCUUCAGUCUGAUCAAUUCCCACCUACUAAGAAAAGAGGGUGACAGAAGCCAGCUCGUGGAGUUAAAGUCCAGGCCUCGCUGGAUGAACGAAUGAAGGUUCAGUCCCCGGACUUGGUGUCAUCGCCACAAACACCUUGGAUUUCUUACUUCAGAAAAUAGACUACUUGCCAAUGCUAAGCUGCUAGAACUGGCAGCAGCAGUGCCAUUUGAUGAUGUGACCACCGCUACUGAUGAACUGAUUUACGUCAGCAGAGAUGAAGACGGAGGAAUACCAACCUCUGAUGAACAGGAAACUGCGACUCGGCCGGAGGACAGCACUGCUACAGCCAUGGUACUACUCCUUGGGGACCAGUACUUUUCAAAUGCAUCCAGCAGUGCUGAAACCGAGGUAAAAAACUUCCUCAGCAACAAGCCCACUCCUCUGGAUGUAAACCCCACUAACUGGUGGAAAGCGAAUGCGGAAGGAUUCCCGAGGCUGGCCAAGUUGGCCAGGCAAUAUUUGUGCAUCUCAGGGACAUCCGUGCCAUCAGAGAGGGUGUUUUCUGCAGCUGGACUUACAGUGAACAGACUGCGUGCACGACUCACCCCUGAACGCGUAGAUAUGCUCAUUUUUCUAAAUAAAAUCCAGUAGGCCUUGGUCUUAAAUGUUGUGGUGAGUUUAAAAGUAUUUUACCGUGCUCACAACUCACUCCUGCUUGUGUAGAUAUGUUAAUUUUCUUAAAUACAAACCAGUAGGAUUUCAGUUUAUUGUGGAGAGGUCUUUAUUUUCCUUUUAUACAGCACUUUGUUUAUUUAAAAAAACUUUGCUAGUCUAGAAAUGGCAGUAGUUGUGCCCCAUUUGACAUUGUUUUUUUGGCGGCGCCAUUUGUUGAAUUAGGACAGGCGUAAAUGAGCAGCCGUUUCGAGCGAGAGCCUUACUGUUUUAUUAAUUUGUUAGUUUAAAUAGUUUGUGCUUCAUAUUGUUUCACAUAACUAAUGUGCUGCUAUUACUGUUUAAAUAAAUAAUUAGAAAAAGACAUGUGUUUUGUGUCUUAUUAUUAAUGAUUAACAGAUUAUUGAUUGUUAACAUGUUCAACUAUCGGUUAAGGAAAAUGCACGAAAUCUGCAACCCUAUUAUGUAGUUUAAUAUGGUUAGUUAGAUUAAUAAAAUAAAUUAUUUGCAAUGUAUAAAAAAAGAAAAAAAAAAAAGAAAAAAG